UACGUAGGGGGCUAGCGUUGUCCGGAUUUAUUGGGCGUAAAGAGCUCGUAGGCGGUUCGGCAAGUCAGAUGUAAAAACUCCAGGCUCAACUUGGAGAGGCCAUCUGAUACUGCCGUGACUAGAGUCCGGUAGAGGAGCACGGAAUUCCUGGUGUAGCGGUGAAAUGCGCAGAUAUCAGGAGGAACACCAGCGGCGAAGGCGGUGCUCUGGGCCGGAACUGACGCUGAGGAGCGAAAGCGUGGGGAGCGAACAGG
rnacentral:rRNA from 1 species